GCUGGGUGUGGUGGUGCACACCUGUAAUUCCAGUGACUUGGGAGGCUGAGAUAGGAGGAUUGUAUGUUAAAGCCUAGCCUCAGCAGUUAAGCUAGACCCAGUCUCAA
rnacentral:sRNA from 1 species